rnacentral:rRNA from 1 species
UUAGUGGCGAACGGGUGAGUAACACGUGGGCAAUCUGCCCUUCACUCUGGGACAAGCCCUGGAAACGGGGUCUAAUACCGGAUACGACCUCCGACCGCAUGGUCUGGUGGUGGAAAGCUCCGGCGGUGAAGGAUGAGCCCGCGGCCUAUCAGCUUGUUGGUGGGGUGAUGGCCUACCAAGGCGACGACGGGUAGCCGGCCUGAGAGGGCGACCGGCCACACUGGGACUGAGACACGGCCCAGACUCCUACGGGAGGCAGCAGUGGGGAAUAUUGCACAAUGGGCGAAAGCCUGAUGCAGCGACGCCGCGUGAGGGAUGACGGCCUUCGGGUUGUAAACCUCUUUCAGCAGGGAAGAAGCGAGAGUGACGGUACCUGCAGAAGAAGCGCCGGCUAACUACGUGCCAGCAGCCGCGGUAAUACGUAGGGCGCAAGCGUUGUCCGGAAUUAUUGGGCGUAAAGAGCUCGUAGGCGGCUUGUCGCGUCGGAUGUGAAAGCCCGGGGCUUAACCCCGGGUCUGCAUUCGAUACGGGCAGGCUACAGUUCGGUAGGGGAGAUCGGAAUUCCUGGUGUAGCGGUGAAAUGCGCAGAUAUCAGGAGGAACACCGGUGGCGAAGGCGGAUCUCUGGGCCGAUACUGACGCUGAGGAGCGAAAGUGUGGGGAGCGAACAGGAUUAGAUACCCCUGGGAGUCCACGCCGUAAACGUUGGGAACUAGGUGUG